AUUGUGUAUGUGCAAUAUCAUCUAAGUUGAAGUAACAGACUUGAAUAAUUUAAAGCAGUACAGGUUGAGAGACACCCUUUUCUAUGCUUCGAGUAACUCAGAGACUAAAAUUACUCACAUCAUUAGCCUCUACUCCAGUCUAUCAAUUAAUUGUCAGUCUUUUGUUUAACUCCUAGCUCAAAUUACCAGGCUUUCCAUUGUGUACCUACGCCGUAUUCUACACUUUACAGAAUGAUUUAUUAUUACACUAUUACUGCAUAGAAAGUUUUAGUGUCCGAUGGUUACUGGAAUAAUUGCGGUGAAGAGGCCAAGAGGACGAAGUUCUAAAAAAUGUACGGAUCUGUAUUAUAGAUGGAAUGAUACAGUCAAACGACUGCACCAAGAAAAUUAAAGAAGAAGAGAUUGCAGAUAGCGUCUGAAACACAACUGAGAUUAAGACCCUUUACUCAACUCCACGAGGCAAGAUCAAGACGCAUUGCGAUAGAUUUAUGGUGCUUUAUUCCAGUGAAGAAGAGUAUCAUUUGAAGUUACAGAAAUCCUUAACGAACCUCAAAUACAUAACACGCUAGUUAAAAAAGGUCGAGAAGUAAACACUCAAAGCCCUAAUUCUUAUGAAAUCCAGUAAAUACCAAAUGUAAGCAGCCAUUACAUACAAAUACAACAUAUAAAUAAAUGUUA